AACUUUGGGGACACAGACAUCAGUUACACCUAUCAAUGUUACUAUAGAUUUUUUUUCUCUCAUUUCUCUCAUCUCAUCUAAAGAUGUGCAUCUUUUGAUUAAAAUGGGGAAAUCUGUAAUCCAAAUUCCUAAUUUAUUUUCCUACUCUGGCACUGAUUUUGCUGUGAAUCCUAGCUUAAAUCACUUCUCUCUGUAUUUCAGUGUUUCUCAGCUGUGAAACUGAACAGUAUUUCUUCCUGUGUUAAUUGAAUUUUUGUAAGGCUUUCUGGAAGGCAUGAUGAAAUAUUGUUAGCAUGCAAAACAUAAACAUAAAUUGCAUGUAAACAUUUUUAGCUUGCAAACCUCCAUAAAGUUGAAGAUAACAUUCAUGAAUGAAUGACAGAGAAAUCUUUAUACCUUUUAGGAAUGUGUGCCCACUAACAUUGCUUUAAUUUAGGCAUGCUGCCUCUUGUCUUGUAUUCCUUUUAAUUUCCAGUAAUUAUGUCUGGAUGUUUUUGAUCAAAAUCUUAGCAAAAGGUAAAGAAUAGAUUCUCAAAAAGAAAUCCUGUGGACCUCUAGUAGUACUCGGAGCACUAGCAGAUGAUUCACAGAGAGCUGGCUUGCCAAAAGACUGCACUGUCUUCUCCACAUUUCUAGCUGCUAGUAUGCAUCAAACAACUAAAAAUUCAUGAAAUGUUUUCCUAAUAUUUUUCCAUGUAAACAAUUCACAUAGUUACCACAGGGAUCUUAUGUGCUCAAGAAUGAGAGAUGGUCCAUGACAUUGCAAACAGGAAAGGAAGCAUCCAUGGAGCUUUCUUAAUUAAAAUGUGGUCCACCCCAUACAAAAACAUCUGGAGUCUAAAUUAAAAGCUUGGUUAGGUUGACAUUUGCAAUGCUUUGUUACAAAGGUAUUUUCAUUUUCAUUAUUAUAAGUGUAGUUUUUGCUUGGAAAAAAAUAAUUUUGUUAAAAUCUGUAUGAAACAAUGUAGUAUAGAAAAAAAGACAAUUGAAAUUGCAUGUUGUGUGACUUGACAAGUUUUUAUGUAUUGCCUAUCUUUGUAAAGGUAAAUUGAUUUCUUUUGUAUUUGUACCUAUUUGUAUUUUGUGUAAAUUUCUACAAAUUUGUAUUUUGUAUUACCUAUCUUUGUAAAGGUAAAUUGAGUUCUUGAUGUGCUGAAAUUAUAACAAUGUUGUAAUUGGAGUAAUGGUAUUUAAAGAAUACAAAAAAGUGGAAUUUAAGGAUACAAAAUACAUUUUUUGUUUUCUCUUAUAUUCCCUCUAUGCAUAUGAUGUACAGAACGUUCUAGCUCCUGUGGAAUUUGCCUGGUGCAUGAGUCAACAGAGAACCUCAGGUGUAGAAUCCUGCCUUGGGUAAAAGAAGAGCGUAUGAUGUAUCAGUCUAGUGCUGGAGAUAGAAGUUAACAAUGCACAGUUUCACAGAUAUUAGCAGGAAAAGUAAAGGAUCCCUGAAUACAUGUUGGGUGUAUCCUAUUCUUACUAUUUAAUAUUCAACUUGCUAAGGCCAUUUUAAAUAAGUCAUUGUAGAUCACCUUUACCAUUAUAUCUUUCAUCUGAAUUGUGAGUAACUGCCUGCUGACAUGCAUUGCAGUCAGUUAAAAUUACAAUCACAUUUAAUCUUUUUAUGGGUAUUCUUUGGGGAUUAGCUCUAACUAGCACUUAAGUCAGUUCUAAUUUUCAAAAAUGUCUGUGCAAUACAGCCAGCCAUUUGUUUUUACAUACCUCAGAAAAGAAAGGAGCUCUGUACUUGAAAGUCAAUGAAGCUUGGUUUCUGGUUUGUUUAUGUGUUUUCAAUACAUCGAUUCUUAAAGGCAAACUGUAGGAGGGUAUAGACAAACCCAGUUUGAUCUAUUUGCAUUUAGCAUUGCAGCUUUGAGCCAGAAAAUGAAAUGUGUAUUUGAUUUUGAUUUAGAUCUGUCCCUUGAGACAGUGUGAAGCUGUCUAUCACCAAGAAUACAUCCAUAUAGGAGGAUUAACUGUUCACAUGCAGUUUAAACGUCAAAGAGUUUGUAUGAUUUAAUGAAAAACGAGUAAUUUGUUUUAUUAUUCUCUGUGAAAACAUAGAACGCCCCUUCUCAAAGUAAAUGAUUUUUAUUUUUAAAACAAAGAUUAAUAGCACUCUAUGGAAGAGUCUGCUGUGAAAGUAAAAUGUCCUUAAUAUGGUUUCAGUCAGUACAAUUGGUGUUUCUUCCUCUUAUCGGUACCAUCAGUGCACUGUAUCAGUACCUUCUGUUCCCUGUUAAACAAUGAGCAGACAGAUGUGAUUGCUGUCUUUAGGGUUAUAUGUAUUCAUUAUGUCAUACAGCUUUCUGAUUUCUGGGAAAAAAUUAACAGUACUUAAUUGUCCUCUAUGUCAGGUGCUUCUGACAUCCUUUUUUGCCUUUUAUCUGUGUGGCUAAAUCCAUCUCUUUUAAUAGAGUGUAGUCAUUAAUCAUACAAGUAUGACAUUUGAUCCACAUUGAGAAGGUUGCUGUGCAUUUCGUUAAAUUACCAGACCAG